AGCAAUCGGGAAGUUGUCUGUGCACUCUGGGCAUGAAAGAACACUUCAAGAGUUCUUUAAACGGACAUUAGAUUAAUUAAAGCAAAAUUGGGACGUCUCGCGUGAAUAGCACGCUGUAUUAUCGUAUUUGGUUGAAGUCGUUCCCGACGCCUCACACAACACAGUACUUAAGUAAUGGACGCCUCUCCUCCUCUUCUUCGUGCGCAAAGGGAGGAUGAAUUCCGUGCUAACCUUCGGAGGUUGAAAAAUGAGAACAACAAGAUGUCACUAGAGCCACAUAACUCAAAGGCUGUACCCACGGCGAACCUUCCUAAGAAGGAUUCAGAGAACCAAGAUCCUGAGAGGAACACACUUGUGCGGCCAAAAGUGAGCAGACUUCCAGUGCUAAUCAAGUCCCUCCAACCUCCUUCAGCUUUUCAUGAUGCUCAGUGGGAGGAGAAAAUCUUGUCUGGGAAAGCCAAGAAGAAAAAGUCAUGCACCAGGCCGAAGCCUUUUAACGUGUCUCGGCAAAAGAGUUUGAAAACAGACAUUGUAACUUUAGAGCCAAAAAAUGGUGCUCGUGCCACCCAUCUUAAAAACAAUGUUUGUGUAAAAACCCAGAAGACAAAAGAGAACCCCCUGAAGAGUCCAGCUGUGUUAAAAAGCACAGUAGCAGCAAGAAAGGAGAAAUGUAUGUUUCCUGAAAAGGCCUCAGGGCAUUCUGACACGUUGAAGUGUGAUAAUGCUGCAAAUCAGAAGACUUCCUCCUUUUCUUCUGCCUGUUUGGAUAACAUGAGCCAUCUCAGUCUCAAAGAUCCAGUGAAGGAUGAGAAUGUGCAGAAUAGCCUCUCAAGCCACCCUCACGGCAAAGCUGAGGGAUUCCAGCCCAAUCAUGCCGCUUUGCUCAGUAUACUGCGGAAUGAGGGUGUGUGUGUCUCCAGGCCGCCAUUUGCAACUUCCAGCUCUCAUGCCAUGUUUCCGCAACGAGCGUCUGUUGUAAAGAGUCACCAAAAAGCUGCUGCCAGCCAGAACAAAGGGGUGAAGGCGACUGGCUCCGUUCGUGCCACACCUCAAAACGUACCUGGCAAAGGCACAUAUUUGGACACACCACAGAGAGUUCUGAUUAAAAAGAAUCUGGUCCUAGCAGACAGAGCUGCAGAAUUCCAGCCCGAUUCCUCCUCAUUGCAAAGUAUCCUGCGUAAUGAGGGCGUGUGCAUAUCCACCCAAUUGGUUGCAACUCCACGGUCUCAAUCUUAUGCCGUGUUUCCACGAGUGUCCACUACAAAAAAUCAUCAAAAUCCUGCUGCCAGCCACAAGGUGAAGACUGCAGGCCCUGUGCGAGCCACACCUACAAAUCCAUCUACAAGAGGCACUAUUGAUACACCACAGAGAGUUCCCAUCAAAGAGAAUCUGGCAGCAGCAGAGAAAGCUGUGGAAUUUAAACCGGAUUCCACGUCACUACAAAGUAUCCUGCGUAAUGAGGGCGUGUGUAUCUCCAGCCAAUCAAUUGGAACUCCACGCUCCCAAUCUUAUUCCAUGUUUCCACAAAGAGUGUCAAUUUUCAAGAGUCAUCAAAAAUCUGCUGGCAGCCAAAACAAGGGGUUGCAGGAUCCAGGCCCUGUGCGUGCCACACCUCAAAAUCCGCUUGGCAGAAGCACUUUUAUCAACACAUCACAGAGGGUUCCAAUUAAGAAGAGUCUGGCCGCAGCAGUUUCAACUCACAAAGAGGCCAAGAGUACAUGGACAUCUCAGAGAGUUUCCCCUCCCAGUCCUGCCAUGGAAGUUGCCCAGGUGUUAUUUUUCAACCAGGAGGAUAGACACAGCCCUGACAAAGGGAAGAAAGAGCAGCUCCCAGUUCUUCAAGUCUCACCUAUGAAAACCCACUGUGAGGACAAAAUAAAGAAUGCUGGCGAUGAAGAAGUGCAGAAGCCUGUGGAAGGACAGCAGUUCAAUCCAACCCUUCAAAGAGAAUCUGUCAUUUUUUUUUCCGCGAGCAAGAAACACAGCGAGCAGAAGAACUUGGCCCGUCAAGAGCUGCGCGGCCAGGAUCCGUCGGAAAAGGGACAAGUGCGUCAUCCUGCAUGUCGCACUAAACUUGCCAGUCAUUUUAUGCACAAAGACCAGAAGACUGGUGUUACCAACACUGCACUUGCGAUCCUGCCCAAGCAUUUCGCUCACAUGGAAGAGCUACGCUUGGACAAGGAGGUUGCUUUCUAUAUCUCCCGUUCUAUCUCAGACAGUCCCAGGUUCUUCCCCUCUGAACCCCGCACUAGCAACCCGGUGGCAACCCUGCUGCACCUUCAAGAGUCCAGUGUGAGUACAAACCUUUGAAAAUGAGCACUAACCUACAGUGGUACCUUGCAGCUGGACCACAAUAUAGUAUUUGUUACCACCGUUAUCCUUGCAGAAUGAGCAUCACAAAUAGACCGGGAAAAGGCAAAACUCAAAGUGGCUGAAACGAGGUCCAGUUAGGUGUGAUGACUUUAAACCAGAGGUGUCAAACUCAUUUUUGUUACGGGCCACAUCGUCGUUAUGGUUUCCCUCAUGGGGCCAAUAAUGACUUCUAUUAUCGCAUACACAUAAUAAAAUUCAGUAAAAAAAAGUUCACCAAUUUUCUAAUUCACUUUGAAAGUGUGGUUUUAACAUCUUUAACAAUAUCUCACAGUUAUUAAAAGAGAAGACAAUUUACAGUUUUGGUAUUUUAACAAGAAACAUUAAAUGAACACAUUUGUUGCUUUUGCGGGCCACGUAAAAUAAUGUGGCUGGCCGGAUCUGUCCCCCGGGCCUUGACUUUGACACCUGUGCUUUAUACAAUAGCUCCAAAACUUUUAGGCAUAGUUUGCAAUCCAAUAUAUGUCCAACUCCAAAUUUUGGGCGUUCCAGCGUCAAGGUUCUACUGUACACAUUGCCCGUGGGGAUUAUCUCACAAGUUGGCAUUCUUUUCUUUUCCAGAAAUUUGUUCCACUGAGCUUGGAUGCUGUUUCUCCGUGCUCCACUUUGAGAUAGAUAAAUAUGUAAUUGUGUCUUUUUGACGAACCACUAAUACAGAUCCCCAUAUUGUUGAAAUAAUAAAUGAAAUGUAGCCUCAGUAUAAUAUUGAAAAGUUGGGCACUGAAGGACAUUCCGUUUCAUUCCAUUUGUUCUCCAGUCCUCCAAGACGACUCUUGAGUACAUGACUGUGUUUUUCAUGUCUAUUGUCCCUGUGUGGACCAGCACCUGUUUACAAUUACAAUUUUACGUGUAUUUGUUUGAAUGUUAUUUUGUUGUUGUUUUUUUGUGUGUCUCUCUCACUUGGGGGAAUAAAUGCUUGUUUGUAAUA